rnacentral:rRNA from 1 species
GCCGGAUUAAGUGUGUUGUGAAAUGCAGGCGCUCAAAGUCUGCUGCAGCGCAUACUGUCCGGCUUGAGUACGCACAACGUUGGCGGAUUCGUCGUGUAGCGGUGAAAUGCUAGAUAUGACGAAGAACUCCGAUUGCGAAGGCAGCUGACGGGAGCGUUACUGACGCUGAAGCUCGAAAGUGCGGGUAUCGAACAGGAUUAGAUACCUGGUAGUCCGCACGGUAAACGAUGGAUGCCCGCUGUUUGUCCUCAAGGAUAAGCGGCCAAGCGAAAGCAUUAAGCAUCCCACCUGGGGAGUACGCCGGCAACGGUGAAACUCAAAGGAAUUGACGGGGGCCCGCACAAGCGGAGGAACAUGUGGUUUAAUUCGAUGAUACGCGAGGAACCUUACCCGGGCUUGAAUUGCAGGAGAACGAUCCAGAGAUGGUGAGGUCCUUCGGGACUCCUGUGAAGGUGCUGCAUGGUUGUCGUCAGCUCGUGCCGUGAGGUGUCGGCUUAAGUGCCAUAACGAGCGCAACCCCUCUCUUCAGUUGCCAUCAGGUAAUGCUGGGCACUCUGGAGACACUGCCACCGCAAGGUGUGAGGAAGGUGGGGAUGACGUCAAAUCAGCACGGCCCUUACGUCCGGGGCUACACACGUGUUACAAUGGUGGGUACAGAGUGUCGGGGGUAUGCAAAUGCCCUCCAAUCAUGAAAACCCUCCUCAGUUCGGACUGGGGUCUGCAACCCGACCCCACGAAGCUGGAUUCGCUAGUAAUCGCGCAUCAGCCAUGGCGCGGUGAAUACGUUCCCGGGCCUUGUACACACCGCCCGUCAAGCCAUGAAAGCCGGGGGUGCCUGAAGUCCGUGACC